UUUUUUAUUGUCAUCACAGUGAUAGUUCAUGAUUUUUGUAGAUAGAAAUUCAGUGCUAUAUGAGAAUCUGUUGCAAUUAUGUGAUAUCCUAGGCCAUAUAUGUUGGUCCCUUUGGUAUUGCAAAUGAAUAUGCUCAUGGAAUUUUGUGUUUGUCUAGCAAUGUGGACAUUUCAGGGAGAUUAAUCAAUCUAAUUGAUGAUAUUUGAGUGAAAUAUGACCUAAGUGUGGCAUUCUUUUCAAUGAGUUGACUUCUAGCUACAUAUAUCGACAUUAUUUAAUGAAAGAUUUAGUUACUUGUGA